UUUUUUGGGUCCACUUCACACACACAUCCCGGAUAUAUAGCCCGGAUAAGUUUAACUUGCACGUGCACGGUAGACCAUUCUCACGUGCACGCAUGGCUCACGAUCAUGAUUUAGUAGUUCGAAAUGUGUUGUUAUGCUAACAGAUCGUGGGAAUUGCGCUUUCUCUGCGAGCAGUUACCACACUGAAAAUCGACUUUCUCGAGAAACUGUUGACUCCAGAAAAGCUUUACGUGAUGCAGUUAUUAUACAAGACGGCAGAGAUUCUAGAUGAGUAACCUGGAUAACUUCCAUUAUUGCACCUGCCAGUAGUCGAAUUGCAUGUGUGGUUUAGGCAUAAGUCAUCUGUGUUUCAAUUAAUUAACAUUUUCUGGAUCUCAAUAAGUUCAUCUUUUGAGAUUCUCCACACAGUUACACAGAAAGUGCCUUUUCUUCAGGGAGCUACCGAGACCAUUUUUCUGAAGAAAUGAGUGCAACUAAGUUUGUAUAGCUGCAUUGCAUUUUGACUCGUAGUGCUUUAGCUAUUGUACUUUGUAAAUUUGAUAGAUUAUUUGCUGGAUCUUUUGGCAGACCAGCCAUGCUGAAAGAGAUUUCUGAAUAAA